GUUGUAAUUAUUUGAUCAAAAUUUUGUGAUAAGUAAUAUAACAAAAAAAGAAAGAAAGAAAGAAAGAAAAUGUAUGCAUUAGUAUAGAGAUGAGUAAUAGAAUAAUCAAGAGAAUUAAAAAAAAUAUGAAUAAAGCUACUAUGCUUUUUGAAGCAAGAAGGCCUCUGUGCUUUCACUUUGUUUUCGAUGGUGGAAUAUUUGAAUCGAUGGUCGAUUCUGUUAGACUUGAUUAAUACUAUUUGAAAUAUAUAAAACUUAAAUUUUGUGAUUUUUCGAUGUCAUUUACCUGGUGGUUGAAAUGUUUUAAAAUUCAAUUAUUUUAAUGGUCGAUAAGAGAAGUAUCCAAAUUUGGUGAAAUUUUGAUUUUUUUUUUUAACUAUCUACAGUAAGAUUAGUAUUUCUGAUCUAAAAUUUGAAUUUUCUAUCCUUACUUUUUAUGAGAUAUUUAUUUUUAGUCGUUCAUUUUAGGACCACUCGAUCACAAGUUAGAUGACGUCGAAAAAUUAUAAAAUCUAACUUUCAGUUACUUCAAAUAGUAUAAAUUAAGUUUAACAGAGCCAAUCAUCGAUUCAAAUGUUUCAUCAUCAAAAAUAAAGUGGAAUAUAGAGACCUCCGUGCUUCUAAAAGUAUAAUAGCC
rnacentral:lncRNA from 1 species